GGCGACAUAGCCAAGUGGUAAGGCAGUGGUCUGCAAAACCGCGAUCCAUGGGUUCGAAUCCCAUUGUCGCCU
rnacentral:tRNA from 1 species